rnacentral:rRNA from 1 species
UGGGGAAUAUUCCGCAAUGGACGAAAGUCUGACGGAGCAAUGCCGCGUGAGUGAUGAAGGCCUUUGGGUCGUAAAACUCUGUCUUUGGGGAUGAAACCAUUAUGUGUUAAUACCACAUAGUAUUGACAGUACCCGAGGAGGAAGCCCCGGCUAACGACGUGCCAGCAGCCGCGGUAAUACGUAGGGGGCGAGCGUGGUACGGAAUAAUUGGGCGUAAAGGGCGUGUAGGCGGUUUUGUAAGUCAGAUGUGAAAACUUGAGGCUCAACUUCAAGCCUGCAUCUGAAACUACAUCACUUGAGGGCAGGAGAGGAAAGUGGAAUUCCAUGUGUAGCGGUGAAAUGCGUAGAUAUAUGGAAGAACACCAGUGGCGAAGGCGACUUUCUGGACUGAACCUGACGCUGAGGCGCGAAAGCCAGGGGAGCGAACG